ensembl:lncRNA
AUGAUUUUAAAAAUGGAUCUAUCCACAAACAAUAGUAAUUGGUCCAUCCUGAACAGCGUUCCGGUUUUUGCUGCAUCCCGAGCCACACCCAGCACGCGGCCGCGGAGGGCAAAGUUCACAUGGAGGAAAGAUGGCGGCUUCCAGUGGCAGGUACUGUACCGCUCACACAGGGCUGGUGCCGCUGAUUGUGUUGUUGUGUGUGAGCGCUCAAGCGGUGGACCGCAGCAGCUUCAAAACAUGCGAGCAGAGCGCCUUCUGCAAGAGAGUGCGAUCACUCCACUGGACAUAACUGAGUAUCCUGGAGGAAUGAACACGAAACAGAGUUUGUCUGAACAUGCGUCAGAGGGAGCUGAAAUCACCCUGCGGCUCAUCAAUGAAAACAACAAGGUCAAAGACUACACAAAAACAGACAUCUGCGUUACAGUUGCUUCAAAACAAACGUGAUCCAUCUUAAAGCUGGCUGCUCUUCGUUAAAGUGGACAAUUCUUAUUGUAUAAUCAAAUAUUGCAGUGUUUAUUAUAAAUGAUUUAUCCGUGCACAUCAUUUUAUAAAGCAUGCAUCCUCAUAAUCUUUAAUCAAAGAUUGGUCUGGGGAUCAAGAUCCAAUUCUAAAACAAUCCUCGAUCUACAUUUUUAUGCUUCUAAAUUAGUUAAUACGAAUUUAUUUGUGCAUUUUUAUUAAAUUGCUUAUGUAUUCAUAAGUACUUCGUAAGAUGACUACACGUUCAAUAAAUUAAAACAAGUGUAUGUAAAGAAUUAACUA